CAAAAAGCCAGAAAUUAUGGAUCUUUAAGUGUUAUAUUUUUGGUGAAACACUCUAUGUAUCGCCUUUUUCCAUCCAACACCAUUGUCCUCAAGCUUCAAAACCAAAAUGUGCAAUUCACAGUCAAAGAAACCAAAAUGGAAGAAAUAUUCCUAUUAAUAUCACCCAUUAAGAAGGAAAGGCCUCAGCUGUGUUUCUCUGCAGUCCAAGGAUUCCCUUUUCGCCACUCUGCGGUAGAACUUUGCGUUCUCCGAUAUUAAGGUAGCGGAACCCUUGGAGAAACAACCCACUAGUAGAUGCUUCAAAUGAACUACCUGGGCAAAGAACACGUAAUGGCAUGAGAGUUUGUGAACUAAUAGGCCCAACAGCAUUGGCUCAUCCAUAACAAAGCAGUGGGCGUUCUAGUGAAACCAGCGACAGAUUAUGAUGUACCACAAUAAAUGACAGAUUCUUAUUUGCCAAGACCAAAUAUGUGAUCUCGGAAUAGGUCUUCCAAAUCAAAGAUAUUGUUAUCCAUGCUGCAAGGAUUCCGACAGGGAUAAGUUCUACCACCACUACUGCCAAGAAUGGAUGGUAAUUGCAUGAAAUCGAUAGAAAAACCUCAAACAGGAGCUCCCAUGGUGCUUGCAAAACCAUCCUUAGAGCCACUGCUUGAAGCUGUACAAUCAUGGAGUCCAAUAUGAUUAACAGCUGGUAAUGGCAAAUUUGCAGUGUUAACGGUAGGACCUACUUGACUGGAUUCAACCAAUUGCUCGCUCAUUAACUCUUCCAGAUCAUACUUAACAUUAUUGACCGGAGGAAUGUACAUUCCGGAGCCACCAACAACUGAUGGUUGCAAGUUAUGCGAUGGAGAUGUCCAAGUGUCAACCCCAUGACACACUCCAGAGGUGCCUCUUAUGCCGGUACAACGAGUUGGUCUUCUAUGUUUUGCAGGAACACAACCAUGCCAGGAAAUGUACUAUUGAACUCACUACCAACAGCAGCACCAAGCAGGAAUUUCUCAGGGUUAACAGCCGAUGGUCCUUUAAUAGCAUCAGCCGUGCAGUUUGUAAGUGGCCCUAGUAAAGGUAACAUCCCUGUGUCGAAAGCUUCAGUCACAUAGUCGGUGAUUGGCCACUGUAAUUGUCCUCCACAAGUUCCUUUCAACUCGUCAGAAUUUUGUCCUUGUCAAGGUUCAGUAAUAUCAGCAACGCUAUUGGCAUCAUGUUGUUUCUCCAGGGGUUGGCAUAUAUGGAAAGGGUGAUUGGUGGUCUAUAUCGAGGAAGUUUGUGUUAUCUAGAACACCAAUACAGGUGGCAAGCCUUGUCCAGAAGUUCUACACUCGAUUCAAUGACAAUAACAACGCCGACAAGAGAAGAAGCAUUCAUGAUGUCUCUAGUGCUGCUGAUAUUACUGAACCUUCACAAGGACAAAAAUCAGACAAGUUGAAAGGACCUUGUGGAGGACAAUUACAGUGUCCAAUCACCAACUAUGUCACCGAAGCUCUCUACACAGCGAUGCUAUCUUUACCAGGGCCAGUUAAAACUGCACGACUGAUGCUAUUGAAGGGCCAUCAGCUGUUAACUCGGAGAAAUUCCGGCUUGGUGUUGCUGUUGGUAGUGUGUUGAAUAGUUCAUUUCUCGGUGUGGUUGAGUUUCUGCGAAGCAUAGAAGGCCAAAUCGUCAUACCGGCAGAGGGCAGUUCUGGAGUGUGUUGUGGAGUUUAAUCUAGGACAUCUCCAUCACCUAGUUUGCAAUCAUCGGUUGCUGAUGGCUCUUGAAUGUACAUUUCUCCUGUCAAUAAUGUUAGUUAUGAUCCGGAAGAGCUAAUCCAGUCAAGUAGGUCCUACCGUUAACACUGCAAGUUUGCCAAUACCAACUGCUAAUUGUAUUGGAGUCCAUGGUUGUACAACUUCAAGCAGAGGCUCUAAGGAUGGUUUUACAAGCACCAUGGGAGCUCUUGUUGGAGUUUUUUCUGUCGAUUCCAUGCAAUUACCAUCCAUUCCUGACAAUAGUGGUGGUGGAACUUAUCCCGUUGGAAUCCUAGCAGCAUGGAUGACAAUAUCUUUGAUUUGGAAGACCUAUUCCCAGAUCACAUAUUAGGUCUUGGCAAAUAAGAAUCUGUCGUUAUUUUGGUAAAUGAUAAUCUGUCCCUGGUUUCACUAGAGCGAUUACUGCUUUGCUGUGGAUGAGCCAAUGCAGUUGGGCCCUAUUACUUCACGAACUUUCAUGCCAUUACGCAUUCCUUAUCUAGCUGGUUCAUUUGCGGCAUCUUCUAGUGGAUUGUUCGUCGUGUCCUAUUAGAUAUGUCUCUAUUUGUGUAUAUAGUGUGUGGAAUAGCAAACUUCGUCAGUAAGUUAUGUACAUAGGAACUCCUUUCUGUAAUUUGGUGUGCAAGCAUGCCUUUAAACUACUUGUUCAUAAAUAAAAAACAUGCUUUGGUAGUGUUGAAUUUUA